GGCUGGUCCGAGUGCAGUCGUGUUUACAACUAAUAGAUCACAACCAGUUACAAAGUUCUUCCUUCCUUCUCUAUUACCACUGCUUCACUUGACCUGCCUUUA
ensembl:misc_RNA Y_RNA Y RNA